rnacentral:rRNA from 1 species
CCUACGGGAGGCAGCAGUGAGGAAUAUUGGUCAAUGGGCGGAAGCCUGAACCAGCCAAGCCGCGUGAGGGAUGAAGGUACAGAGUAUCGUAAACCUCUUUUGUCAGGGAACAAAGGCGGGGACGUGUCCCCGGAUGAGUGUACCUGAAGAAAAAGCAUCGGCUAACUCCGUGCCAGCAGCCGCGGUAAUACGGAGGAUGCGAGCGUUAUCCGGAUUUAUUGGGUUUAAAGGGUGCGCAGGCGGUCUGUUAAGUCAGCGGUCAAAGCCCGGGGCCCAACCCCGGCCCGCCGUUGAAACUGGCAGUCUCGAGUUGGAGAGAAGUAUGCGGAAUGCGCGGUGUAGCGGUGAAAUGCAUAGAUAUCGCGCAGAACUCCGAUUGCGAAGGCAGCAUGCCGGCUCCACACUGACGCUGAGGCACGAAAGCGUGGGUAUCGAACAGGAUUAGAUACCCUUGUAGUC